rnacentral:lncRNA from 1 species
AAGUUGAGGGGGAAUUCCUGUAAUUUUUUUCUUUAAUUUUUGCAUGCACUUCCAAUGCUAAAAUCAGUUUUUCUUUUUAAAAAAGGUCAGAUAAAGCACAAUCAUGAAGUCUGUAUGGUAAAUAUGUCCCUCUGACAUAGACAAUGUUGAAAUCAAAGGUGCAAGAUGAAAAAAUGGGGGAAAAGUGCAUUUCUAUGGCGAUCAUAAGGGUCACAGGUAAGAUAUGACAUUGAAAAGAAGUGCACAGAUGGACUCUUGUUUAACGUAUUGUAAGCAAUCCAUUAUAAACUCAUAAAAGGAACAAAAACUUAUAGGUUGCAUGCUGACACUUAGUUGUUAUGCAAUUGCUGAUACUAUCCAUUUUUUUCUUAGAUAUGUAAAAUUACUUCCUCAGCAUUUGCAUAGGCUGACAUCAAAUGUGUUGGAAAUCAACUGCCUAUCAUGAUAAUUCCUUUCUGCAAUUCCCAUUUAUCUCCCAUGCUUUCAUAAAGAUAGUCAUGCUAUAUCCCCUUCCAGAAGUGGAUUAAUCCAUGUAUGUUAUGAGAGAAGGAACCCACUUAUUUUACUUCAGUUUGAUAAACAAUCCUCUUGUUGGUAUAUCCCUUAUCAUAUGCCUCAACGUGUGAACACUGCCUUUUAUUUUGUUGUGUUGAUAUUCAAUUUCUUACGACUUGGGAAUUGAAUUUCAUCACAUGCUUUUCAUUUUUAAAAAAAAAAAAUUAAUUCACCAUUCGAUGCAACAUUUUUUCUAUGUAACCACUUCAUUGAUAAACAUUAGUCACAGCUGCACCAAUCAUAUGAUGGUGGAUUAGUGUUACGUUACCUCAUAUUUUGUUCCCUUGCAUGAUUAUCUACUAAAUGUUUGUAAGGUGAGAGGAAUGCAUCCUAGUAAUUUACUUUCUUUCAUGUGUUGAGGAUUUGCUACAGAUUAUGAUCUUUUGAACCUUAUGUCUUAGGACUUAUUGGAAUGUUUGUUGUCCAAUUGAAUGUCUUUUCAUAAAUUUUCAACAGCUUGUUUUGAAAUCUCUAAUUACUUAUUAAAAAUAGCUUAUUCAUAAUCAUUUCCCAACAUUUCGUUGUUUUACUUGAUUUAGAUGUACUACUCCAUGCGUGUCAUGUCUUUAUUCAUGAUUUAUUUGUUCGGAACUCCUUAACAGAAUGUCUCCCAAAGAUUUUUCCUUUGAAUAAAGAGAUGAUUAACUUGCUGCAAGAUCUGGCCCAAGUGACAUGGACUGCGAAAGAGCUACUCUUUGCUUGCUGCAGAUGCUCUUAACAUCUGUUUUCAAGUUCUUUCCAUCAGAAAGGAACAUCUGUCUCGAGCUCUAAAAGCCCUAAUUAAGGAGAUGAAGUUCAGAUGCUUAAAGACUGACAGUCUCUUGAAUGUAGGUAUUCUCUAGCUUCAUAUGUACUUCCCAUACAUUCAUGAAGAGGAAGUAUACACUUCAUUCUCAAUGCAAAGUCAAGGGGGUUAUCCCUUACGGCAUUUAAACUUCUAUUGUUGUCUUGUAAAAAGGGGAACAAAAAUUGUUAGUUCUUGUAUACAGUCUUCAACUCUGUUACUUUGUUCUAUAUAUUCUUUUUUGGAUCAUUAAAUCAAGUUUGGAUUAUUCAGCUGUUUAUUUACUUAUCAGUUACCAGAAAUUCACUACCUAUUACUGAAUUUCUCUAGUGCUGUUUACUCCUUUCAGAAAUUUAGGUUAGGUUGUGGAUAAUGAAAGGGAUGCCCUUGAUCAACUAUACUCCAAAUCAUGCUAGGACUUGAUGGAUCAGUCCUGUCAAGCUGCAUUGACAGCAAGGUCGAGGGAUUACAGUCCAUCAUUUAUGAAUACUUUAUAAAACAAGGAUUAGAGGAAGCCAACAAAGUUUUGAGCAAGCACUUUGCAUUGAAUGUGCAGUCUUUUGUGUGCAGAAAGAAGUAUGGUUGAAUGAGCAGAAACCUGCUGCAUUCAACCAAGCCUAUAAUGCAUAAUACUGAAGAGGGUGAUCUUUAUUUCUUAAAACUUAGACAUCAAAACCAACUCUGUUUUCUUUCCCUUUUUUUAUUCGUGAUGACUCAUCACUGUUAGCAAAUGCACCAAGCAAGGCAACCACUUGAGCUAAAGAGAGGAGAUCAACUGAAGAAGCAAAAGCAAACCAGGAGAUUCUUUUACUACAAUCUAAUCUCAGAUUCUGAGAAAUACGUCGCCAUAAUAUAGUUGAGCUGAAAAAGAGAGAUUAACCGUAGCGAAAAGAAAACCAGGAGAUGUUUUUAUUACAAUCCAAUCCAAUAGCCUGAGGAAUACCAUCUCCAUAAUACACAAAACAUUGAGAGAGAGAGAGAGAGAAAGAGAGAGAGAGAGAGAGUUGAGUGUUUUACCCGUUCUAAACAUUGAGUGUUUAGAUUGCAGACUUGACUAUCUAAAAUGUGGACUCAAAAAUCUUCAAGCCAAGCUGCUAGAGUUGUCACGGGAAGAACAUCCCAUUCUUAACACCUUUUCUUUUCUUUUCUUUUCUUUUUUUCUUUUUUUUGCAGCUGGGGGAAACCACCAUGGCCAAGAAGAGUGAGAAGAGGAGAGGAUGAAGCAGUUGACGAAGCUUCCUGCAUGCAUUCAUAGUAUAUGCGCCCGCUAUAGGCAGCAAGAUCUGCAUGGUAAACUGGUGGUAGAUGGGUCUCAUGAACAAAUAAAUUACAAUAUCUAAUUAAGUAUGUCUGGAGAAGAAAGGAUUAAGAUCAUGAAUCAAUCCAGAUUCUUCAUAAAGAAGUUCUGCAUCGAAGUUCGUGGGAUUUGAAAAUAAGACAGCCAAAGCAUUUGAUCCUCUUCCCUCUUUAAUUGCAUAGAUUUAUCAAAUUAUGAAACAACUACUCUUCCAUUCCAGGAAAUCUUUCAUUUCUAUCUAACAAAGUGAUCUGAAGGACAAACUUUUAGAUUAAUGUCACGAUAGUAUGAUAAAACCUAAUUAAGAAAAAGGAAAAUGCACAAUAUCAAUAAUCAAGGAUGGGAGGCAAACUUCAUUCUGGUACGAUAGUUGGG